CCGGGAGUUAGUCGGCAGUUCAGGGA
rnacentral:piRNA from 1 species